rnacentral:rRNA from 1 species
GAUGAACGCUGGCGGCGUGCCUAAUACAUGCAAGUCGAGCGAACGGACGAGAAGCUUGCUUCUCUGAUGUUAGCGGCGGACGGGUGAGUAACACGUGGAUAACCUACCUAUAAGACUGGGAUAACUUCGGGAAACCGGAGCUAAUACCGGAUAAUAUUUUGAACCGCAUGGUUCAAAAGUAAAAGACGGUCUUUCUGUCACUUAUAGAUGGUUCUGCGCUGCAUUAGCUAGUUGGUAAGGUAACGGGUUACCAAGGCAACGAUGCAUAGCCGACCUGAAGGGGUGAUCGGGCACACUGGAACUGAGACACGGUCAUGACUCCUACGCGAGGCAGCAGUAGCGAAUCUUCCGCAGUGGUCGAAAGCCUGACGGAGCAACGCCACGUGGGAGAUGAAGGUCUUCGGAUCGUGAAACUCGGUUAUUGGGGAGGAACAUAUGUGUAAGUAACUGUGCACAUCUUGACGGUACCUAAUCAAAAAGCCACGGCUAACUACGUG